rnacentral:snoRNA from 1 species
CCGCUGGACGACGAGGAAUUGGUUGCUUACAUCCUUAAUGGCCUUGAUGAAGAUUAUGAUUCUGUUGUCUCCACAAUUGUUGGUAGGGUGGAACCUAUCACGGUUGCGGAGGUUUACUCACAACUUUUGAGCUUUGAAA